GCCCUUGUAAGCUAAUGGAUAAACUGUCGGGCUUCUAUCCCGAUCUUGGAGGUUCAAAUCCCCCCGAGGGCG
rfam:Candidatus Yonathbacteria bacterium RIFOXYD1_FTLL_52_36 rifoxyd1_full_scaffold_1208, whole genome shotgun sequence.